CUCUGAGCCGAGAGUUACUCAAACUUUUCUUUCAUAGCAUGGGAAAGUUCGGUGCGGAGGAGCUCCACAGCAGCAACCAUGUUCUCAAGCGCACAUUUGACCCCAGCAUGUUCGCGAGUCUUGAAUUUGUAGUCAAGGUUAAACAACACUAUGUUUGUUGUGAGCUUCUUGGUGACACCGCAGCAAUCUGUUAAGCUGAUAGUAUUCAGGGAGAUAGGAUAUUUUAUGUGCACCACCUAGGAUUAGGUUAAUGGACUACUAAGUCUAAAUUUAGCUCGGGCUCUCUCAAGCUUAUACUAAUUCGUGGUUUAGGUUCAAAUUUUUAACAUGCAAAUGGAUUUUAUCUAGGAAUCGCCACUAAUCAGUUUAUGGUAGGUCGAUUAGACACCUAAUUAAAAAAAUAAUGGGAGAAUUAUUUUACUCCUACGAACCAGAGAUUUUAGGUACGGGGACUUGGUUACACUAGAUUUCUCUAAUGUCCUUUCGAUACCAUUCUUUUUAUUUUCAAAAAUAUUUUUGUUGGUAGCUUGGAUUUAUUUUAAGCUAAAUUAUUAUCAUACAAUAGGGUGAUGUGUUCAAUCAUAUUAAACAGUCAAUGAAUCAAACAAAUUGUAUCAAAAUAAUUAAAUGCACAAAGCAAACAAAUUUUUUGGGUUUUUCUCUUAUUUAAUGAAACCUAAUUUUGCAAUGAUGUAAAAAAAUGUAUCUAUACUAACACAACAUGCAACGUGCAAUGUAAUAGGCAAAUUAUAUGUCAUGCGAUGUUACUCACAUGACCUAAGUUAAUGAUGAGCAAAUAUUAAUGCAACUAUUCUAGUAUGUCACAUUUAAAUUAUCCUAAUUAUGCAAUAACUAAAUGAUGUGCAAAGGAUGACCUAAUUUUAGGUGACACAUGCAUGAUAUUUUUUGUGCUUUCUUUUUAAUUCGAAAUUAAAAUUAGCUAAUAAUUAAACAUGCAAUUUUAAUUAAAGAAAAGGAAAUCUAAUCAUUCUAAAGCAAUGUUUUUGGCACUUUUAUUUAUUAGAGCUAGCAAUUCUAUCUAGAAUUUCGAAAAAAAAACACUCAAGAUAUCAAUCAGGAUUCAAAUAAAAUAUUGCAAUAUCCAGAAAAGAAAAAUAAUCCGUCAUGUCACGUCUUAGAUUAAUGGAUAUCUUAAUCUUGAUGAGGCACUUACUCAGAAUUCAACAUGAUAAAAAAAAUGAUCCGUUGUCUCACGGCUCGCAAUCUCAGACAACGCAAUUAUCCAAUAAUAAGAUGAGAUAAUUAAAAAAAUGAUUCGAUAUCUUUACGGAUCAAAUUAGUAAUUAAAUCAACUUUAUUAAUAAGCCCUACUUAGAUAUGCUUAAUAUCACAUAUCAGAUAACAACCAAUCCGAAUUAAGAAAUGAAAUAUUCCAUUUGAAUUGGAUACAGAUUGUUACCUGAUUUGAAAACGGGUAAUCCGGAUCGAAAUUGGGACCGGGUCACGGCUUGUGAAUGAUGCUCGACAGGAAGGCAGCAGCGGCAGCGGGCUCGAACCGCUACCAAAUCGUCGCAAGAGACUUCACUGGUUUCGGACGGAGACCGGGGUUCGCUAGACGACAAGAUCGUUUGAGAAACUUUUGCUUUCCACAUGUGGAUUAUUCAAGAAGUAGACAAAUUUCACCGCUUCAGCGCAUCGCUCUCUAAAUCCUUUCAUCGCUUUUGCCUCUUGUUUUGUGUGAACGUGACCGCGCAUUAAUUGAAUUUUCCAUGAUUCUGUGCACGUCACCCUUGCUGCUAUGUUGACUGAAGGUGGCCUUGAACUAAGCCCAGAAUUUCCUUCAAAUAAAACAAGCAAUAUUAGAGAAGAUAUGUGAGAGAAUCUGCGCUCGCCAAUGGUGCCCCUGGUCAUUGAUAGAGAGCCUCCAGCAAUGCUAUGGCGGGUGGUGCAGGACUUGUUUGAAGCGUCGAUGAAGAGCUUCGCAUGAUUGGGCUGUCGCGAGGCGCAAUGAUGGGGGCGACAGCGGGGCUCGGACUGGGCUUGCUGGCGUCACUAGAUGUCCGCUGUACUGAAAGAUCGUUGGAAUUGCUGUUGGGUCUCGCUUGAAGGCUGCAAAGGUCGUCGAAGGCUGAUGUAUCGCUGUAGCGGAGACAAAUAAAACUGCAGAAUUAUUGCUGGAACUCGCCCGGAAACCUGCAAGACAUAACAAACACCAAAGCUUCGUGGGAUCGAUCUUGGUCAUGCGGAAGUUGUGGGUGUUGGUGUAGAAUAGGCGUGAAAGUCCACGAUGACCGGGAGACUGAACCUGGAUAGCAAGCGAAAACACGAAAAUAAAUAAAUGAAUAAUUUAAAUAACGAAAUGGAAUUUCACACAAUCAAACUAAAAAAAUGCUUGAGUUAGCUUUAUGCUUGUCGUCAAUGUCCACAAAGCGAGAUGAACACGGGACGUCCAGAGGACUGCCAACACGAUAGACCAAUUGGAGAAUUCUCGAGAUCGUGGACCCCCGAUGUCUGAGGAUGUAUACCUCCUUUUAUAGCAAAAAGCCUUCCACGUAUCGUUGGAAAGUCUGGAUCCGUGGAGCUGAUGGAUGAUUCUUGGGGAAUUGCUGAGUUUUGGCUUUGAUUUAUCACCAAAAAUUGAUUGUGAAUCUCUCUAAUUUAUUUCUAAAUUAGCGCUCAGAAUCUUUUGGUUUCAUUUCCUACUUCUACUCAUAUUGCCUUGGACGUGUCCACAUUCGCUCAUCUCCAUUCACAAUUCCUGGGCCAACUUGAUUAUUUUCUCUCUUUUUCUUGCGAAUAUGGCCGGGUGGGCGUUUAUAGCGCUGAAACAAUCCCAUCAUUUUCUUUCACUGUUCUAUAACCAGCUCAUUAAUCUCAUUUUCUAAAUUCCAGCAAUCCACACUUUCCACAAAUGCCUUGAUUUCUUUCCUCCAUUUUGCCUCUCAAUUGCCGCGCUUUCUUUUUCCUUUAGCCGAUAGCUCAUCAUUUAUCCCACGAAUUCCUCCAUUAGCUUACCAAAAUUGCGGCCCCUAAGCAUCCAACCGAUUUUUUGAAUUUCCUAUCCUUCUUCGCAUGUGCAAUUUAUCAGUCCCUUUCCUCAUAUCAUGGGUGAGAUUCAUGGUCCCUCAUUAGGCUGAAUAAGGAUUUUUGCUAAUCCAUAUAACAUCAACCGAAGGUAUUCCCUUGACAACAUGAUGAUGUUAACUCAAAUGAAAAUUAUUGGACGUGGACACCAUCAAGUCAAACAUAUCCAUCACUAGACCAAUGCAAAUGUAAUAAAAAAAAUGCUCCUAAAACUAUAUAUUAUGCAAUUUAAUUCUAAUAUUUUUGUUUAGGGGUUAGAAUUAAUCCCUAAUUUUUCUAUGAAUAAAUGACUGGGUCGCCAAAAUUUAGGUGUCAACAACACUGGGCCAAUCACAGCAACAUAGUUGACUCCCUCACCGAAAACUGACUCAUCAAAGCAACAGUUCUCAAUUGUGACAACAUAAACAUCCUUGUUGAUGAUUGAUAGGGGGAAGUCGCUGAACUAGGAGAAGUACAUGUGAGUGUGGAUCUGCCACUGAAUGAAAUCCGUCUACAUGGGGAACGGAUCUUUCCACUUAAAAAAAAGGGAAAAGAAAGAAAAGUAAGGGAAUUAUGAAGGGACCUGGGUAGUAUCCUUGACACCACAAUUAGUGAUUCUAAAAGAGUGGAUAGCCCAAUCCAAGUAGGAAGCUUGCUCAGACUUUCUCAGUGGUAGACCAUCCCUCAAAGCUAGCUCAUCAAUCUGAAAAACGUUGAUCCCUACCUUCUUGAGAUCUUCGACUUCUUCCUUGAUGGCCAAGGCAAUUUGGUAGCAAGUUUCAAACCUGUGAACUAAAUCUUUAUUAUUCUAGUCCUGAAAGGAGAAAUAAAGUUUAUGUUCUUUGAUCAAUCCCAUGUACACAUGAAGUUCCCGUUCUUCUGUACCUGGGUUGGUCAUUUCGGACAAAGGACCAGUCGAGAAUGGUGACAGGCCCCGGAAGCAUUCCCUUCAUCGGGCUAGUUACCAUGCUCUGGAUUGCAGUGGACCAGAAGACAUAAGGUAGCUUGGGGUGGCUCACAUCACCAUAGAUGAUGGGUGGUUUUACACAACGAGAUCCAUGAGAUUGCACCCACCCAUUAACGGUGAAAGCAAAACCUGACAGCUGCUCCCCAAAGUAUUCAACCAUAUUGUUCCUCUGUUUUGGAUAACAUCCAGAUCCAGAUGUUCAAGAAAGAAAACAUAGCUCAUAAGAUGCUAUCUAUCUAUCCGACAUAAUCUGUCUUAAUUACAGUACCAGAUUCAAAGACUGUCUUACCUUAGGCUCCCCAUAAACCAAGACAUCUAGGUCAAGCUCCUCUUGAAGCUUGACAACUUUGUCAAUUUCCUCCUUGAUGGCCUUAAUGUAUUCUUCCUCAGAGAUCCUAUAAUGAAGUGCAGUCAGGAGAAUGAUCAGGUUCAUAACAAUAAAAAUAACAGCCCACGUCAUAUCCAACAUCGUUUAAUUAGAAAAGGAAGAUCUAAUUUACUCACUUUUUGGCCUUGUACCGAGAGUGUGGACUUCUGAGUUCCUUGGUGAUGGAGUCAAUGGUGGCUGCUGGCACGACCAAAUUAAGCUUCUUUUGCUGAGCAUCAAAUCUAGCACUCACAAUUGCGGCACGGCGAUGAUCAGAGCCCCUCAUGUCCGAGUAGCCAGUAGCCAUGCUCUGGACCAAUAGCACUCACAGUUUUACCAAAAGUUAUUUGGCUCUUACAAGAUGGGUUGGCAUCGUCCGAUGCCAGUAAGAGUUCCUAGUUCGACAGUGGCUUCAUGGCGUUAGAAUUUCUUGAUGUAGGAUUCUGCUUUUCCAUGCCAAAAGACAGAAAUUUCUUUUCUGGAUGAUAAAUCUUUAGAAAUACUUGUAAGCAUUUGUCGACACUAAUGACCAAUUUUUGGUUAUAAUCGAUGAGCACUAGCAGCAAGCUCGGUCGAUGAAAGUAAAAUUUGUUCAAAAUGGAUGUCAUCAAUGAACAUUACCAUCGAUAACUUGAAGAAAAUCAAUAAUGCGCCAAUGAAGUCAUUGACAGCAAAUAGUGCUAGAGAUUAUCGGCAAGAGCCUUUGCUGGUCAACAAUCGAUAGAUAAAGUCAUCAAUAGCAUAUAAUUGCAGAUUUUGCUAAGUAUCGAACUAGUGUCAUUCAUGAACAAAACAAAGGUUUGCCAAAACAUCACUCAAACACAAAGAUGGUCGAUUGACACGAGCACAAAAUUGCCCGCUAGUAAUGUCUAUAGUCUUAGAAUUUGUAAAUAUAUUGUAGAUAAUCACUAGUGGAUAAUAGAGAAUUGCAGCUAGAAUAUGGGAAAGCAGAACUGCUUAUCAACGAGCAUAGAUGGUGCAGAUCAAGUAGCGGAUUAGGUCAUUGAAGCCCAACCCCACGAAACUCUCCCUCUGAGCCGGGAGUUACUCAGACUUUUCUUUUAUAGCAUGGGAAAGUUCAGCGCGGAGGAGCUCCACAGCAGCAACCAUGUUCUCAAGCGCACGUUUGACCCCAGCAUGUUCACAAGUCUUGAAUUUGUAGUCAGGGUUAAACGACACUAUGUUUCUUGCGAGCUUCUUGGUGAUACUGUCAGCAAUCUGUUCAGCUGAUGG
rnacentral:lncRNA from 1 species